CAAUCACUUGUCUUUUAAAUGAAGACCCGUAUGAAUGGCAAGACGAGGGCUUAGCUGUCUCCUUUCUCAAGUCAAUGAAAUUGAUCUUCCCGUGCAGAAGCGGGAAUUAUAACAUAAGACGAGAAGACCCUAUGGAGCUUUAGACACCAAGAUAGACCACGUCAAAGCCCCCUACCCAAGGAACUGAACUAAGUGGCCCCUGUCCUAAUGUCUUUGGUUGGGGCGACCACGGGGAAACACAAAACCCCCGCGUGGAAUGGGAGCACUACACUCCUACAACUAAGAGCUUCCGCUCUAAUAAACAGAAUUUCUGACCAACAAGAUCCGGCAACGCCGAUCAACGAACCGAGUUACCCUAGGGAUAACAGCGCAAUCCUCUUUUAGAGCCCA
rnacentral:rRNA from 1 species